UUGACCUUGGUGAAUGCAGUAAAAAAUAUUUAAAUAAGAUCUUAUGUGUAAAACACUUCAAUGUGCCUUUUUUAUAUUUUUUUCUUUUUUAGGCCAACUCUCACGUGUUAGCGGAAAGUUACCAAAAUAUGUUAAGGACUUAAUUCAGAAAUAAUGUUGCUAAACGAUUUACAGUCGAUAAUCUUUCGAAAGCAGAAAAACUCAGUGUCAAACAAAGAAUACGCGAAUUAUUUGAGAUAUGAUUGAAAUUUGCAAAGAAAGUAAAAAUCAAAGUAGUUUCAUUCUAAGUUAUUGUACAUAAUUUUAAAAUUUUUGGAAUAGAAGUGAUGCAAUGUUUAUUUA
rnacentral:lncRNA from 1 species